GACGAACGCUGGCGGCGUGCUUAACACAUGCAAGUCGAACGGAAAGGCCCUGCUUUUGUGGGGUGCUCGAGUGGCGAACGGGUGAGUAACACGUGAGUAACCUGCCCUUGACUUUGGGAUAACUUCAGGAAACUGGGGCUAAUACCGGAUAGGAGCUCCUGCUGCAUGGUGGGGGUUGGAAAGUUUCGGCGGUUGGGGAUGGACUCGCGGCUUUUCAGCUUGUUGGUGGGGUAGUGGCUUACCAAGGCUUUGACGGGUAGCCGGCCUGAGAGGGUGACCGGCCACACUGGGACUGAGAUACGGCCCAGACUCCUACGGGAGGCAGCAGUGGGGAAUAUUGCACAAUGGGCGGAAGCCUGAUGCAGCAACGCCGCGUGCGGGAUGACGGCCUUCGGGUUGUAAACCGCUUUCGCCUGUGACGAAGCGUGAGUGACGGUAAUGGGUAAAGAAGCACCGGCUAACUACGUG
rnacentral:rRNA from 1 species